rnacentral:rRNA from 1 species
GGGUCAGUAGGUUGGUCGUGCCACCGGUACGUACUGGUCUCACUGAUUCCUCCUUCCUGAAGAACCGUAAUGCCAUUAAUUUGGUGUUGCGGGGAAACAGGACUGUUACUUUGAAAAAAUUAGAGUGUUUAAAGCAAGCUAACGCUUGAAUACAUUAGCAUGGAAUAAUGAAAUAGGACGAUCGAUCCUAUUUUGUUGGCUUCUAGGGUUGACGUA